rnacentral:rRNA from 1 species
CCUACGGGAGGCAGCAGUAGGGAAUCUUCCACAAUGGGCGAAAGCCUGAUGCAGCAACGCCGCGUGGGUGAAGAAGGUCUUCGGAUCGUAACACCCUGUUGUUAGAGAAGAAAGUGCGUGAGAGUAACUGUUCACGUUUCGACGGUAUCUAACCAGAAAGCCUCGGUUAACUACGUCCCAGACGCCGCUGUAAUACGUAGGUGGCAAGCGUUAUUCGGAUUUAUUGGGCGUAAAGGGAACGCAGGCGGUCCUUUAAGUAUGAUGUGAAAGCCUUCGGCUUAACCGGAGUAGUGCAUUGGAAACUGGGAGACGGGAGGGCAGAAGAGGAAGGUGGAACUCCAUGUGGAGCGGUGAAAUGCGUAGAUAUAUGGAAGAACACCAGUGGCGAAGGCGGCUCACUGGUCUGUAACUGACGCUGAGGUUCGAAAGCGUGGGUAGCAAACAGGAUUAGAUACCCCAGUAGUC